rnacentral:rRNA from 1 species
GGACGGUACAACGAGUCGCAAGACCGCGAGGUUUAGCAAAUCUCUUAAAGCCGUUCUCAGUUCGGAUUGUAGGCUGCAACUCGCCUACAUGAAGUCGGAAUCGCUAGUAAUCGCGGAUCAGCAUGCCGCGGUGAAUACGUUCCCGGGCCUUGUACACACCGCCCGUCACACCAUGAGAGUUUGUAACACCCAAAGCCGGUGGGGUAACCUUUUGGAGCCAGCCGUCUAAGGUGGGACAGAUGAUUAGGGUGAAGUCGUAACAAGGUAAC